UGCCGACGUGGAUAACAGUAUCCCUAUACUCUCUACACUCACCAGUUUUAGCCUUCGCCAGCACCAGCUUCAGAAUAGCCUUAACAUCGGUAGCCCUGCACCCUGUCUGAGGCUGGAACCCUACUGGCAGCACUUGACUACAGCCUUUGUAACCAUCAUCCAACCUUGGAGAACGCAUAGGGCAACAUGAUCUAAAGAAGACUCUACAAUAGCAAGCUUCGAAGGUGAAGUGUCUACGCAUUGAAAACUACAAAGGACUACAUUGACAUCCCAGAGCUUCAGAGAGAAGUGUUGAGAAGACUGGGCUCUCAAUUGGGGCUACCAAGGAGAAUGAUCCUGUGAUCAGAUGACCCAAGACUCCCUGAAGUGCCACACCAACAAUGGCUGAGCUGCUACAACUUCGAGAAGUCACCACGCAACACAGGGUGCAGUAAGCUGGGAAGGACUGGAGAUUUCCUUGCUGUCAGAUUUGGUGGUUCCCGGGAGGUGUGAAAAUAUACAGAGUACUCAGAAUUGUUGUUAAAAGUGGUGGGCCUACAACCAAACAUAUAAAUCAAAUAAAUCAGGGAAGUUUGUGGUGGCAAGCUAAGCUAUCCUGGAUAAAAAUUAACACAUUUACAAAAAGGGAAAUUCCUAGGAGGACUAUCCGUACCAAACGAUAAAUUGUAUUUCCAGGCACUAGCAUUUUGCCCCAUCCUAAAUUGGUUUAGACAUGAUUCUUCCGUCCCCUUGGCUGAGUAUAGAGAGACAUAUGGUAUCUCCUUUUGCCCUGGAAGAGGUGGCCUUCACU